AGCGUAGGUGGCAAGCGUUAUCCGGAUUUACUGGGCGUAAAGCGUGCGCAGGCGGUCUUGUAAGCCAGAUGUGAAAUCCCCGGGCUUAACUUGGGAACUGCAUUUGGGACUGCAAGGCUGGAGUACGGCAGAGGGAGGUGGAAUUCCACGUGUAGCAGUGAAAUGCGUAGAGAUGUGGAGGAACACCGAUGGCGAAGGCAGCCUCCUGGGCUAGUACUGACGCUCAUGCACGAAAGCGUGGGGAGCAAACAGG
rnacentral:rRNA from 1 species